rnacentral:rRNA from 1 species
GACGAACGCUGGCGGCGUGCUUAACACAUGCAAGUCGAGCGGUAAGGCCCUUUCGGGGGUACGACGAGCGGCGAACGGGUGAGUAACACGUGGGUGACCUCGCCCUCCAGCUCUGGGAGUAAGCCUGGGAAACCGGGGUACUAAUACUGGAUAUGACUCCAUGACGCAUGUUGGUGGGGUGGGAAAGCCUUGUGCGGCUGAGGAUGGGCCCGCGGCCUAUCAGCUUGUUGGUGGGGUGAGGCCUACCAAGG